UACGUAGGGUGCGAGCGUUAAUCGGAAUUACUGGGCGUAAAGCGUGCGCAGGCGGUUUUGUAAGACAGAGGUGAAAAUCCCCGGGCUCAACCUGGGAACUGCCUUUGUGACUGCAAGGCUUGAGUGCGGCAGAGGGGGAUGGAAUUCCGCGUGUAGCAGUGAAAUGCGUAGAUAUGCGGAGGAACACCGAUGGCGAAGGCAAUCCCCUGGGCCUGCACUGACGCUCAUGCACGAAAGCGUGGGGAGCAAACAGG
rnacentral:rRNA from 1 species